ensembl:lncRNA
GUCCGCCACUGCCCCCUGUCGGUUGGAGUUGUCCCCGCAUGCCGCACACACAAGCGCGGGAAAUUAUACACGAGCGCGGGACAUUAUACACAUGGCGCGAAAUUGGAAGCUGCGCAUGCGCAUUUAAACAUUACCCAUUUAGAGCGUUGAUAUUUACAUCAACGAUUUAGACUGACUGAUUGGGCGCUUCUUAUUCAUCCAUCAAUUUUGGCAGAGUUUUGACACGCUUUGGAGAAAAGGUAAGAAGGUAAUUAUAAAACUUUUAAAAGACGGACGUUCUGACAGACACAGUGCUUCAGAGUAGGCACAGCCGUGGUGAGGCGGCAGGUGAGGGAACGACGAGCAGGUACGGUGGAAAGCAUACGGCGGAGAGCGCACCGCGUGGACCGGAUCACGAUGAGGUGAGGACGGCGGAGCGGGCCGGAGCACGCGGAACGGUUCACGGAGGUCACAGCAACACGCGGGGCGGGGAUUCCCGGACUGUCCCAAGCACCGGCAUGGUUUUUUUUUUUUUACCCUGGCCUAAUCUCAUCACUUGUUUCAAGGAAAUCAUGUCACGGAGAACCACUCCCCUUCAGGAUGCCAUUAAUCACAUCCUUGCAAGAAGAGACAAGAAUUCAAUGUUAGAAAUCAAAUUUAUUAAUUCAGUUAAAGGUCGUGGCAUCUUCACUUUAGCCAAUUUCAAACAAGGAGACUUUGUGGUCGAGUAUAGAGGGGAGCUUAUUGAUGCAACUGAAGCUGAACACAGACGUAACCUGUACCCCAGCGCAUGUUCAGUCUUCAUGUUUGAAUUCAUAUGGAAGCAGAAGACAUUGUGGUAAAUUCAAAAUGACUGAAUGUUUACAUUUCUAUUGCAAGGUCAGGAUUUCUGAAGCAAACAUCUCAUACUGCUCUUUAACGAGUCCUUACCUCUAGUACCCGGCCCCGUCAGUCCCCAGAAUCUAUAGAAGGGGGAGUGACGGACCCGUGGAAUAGCGGGAUCUCAUUCUUACUAAGGCUCCGUCAUUUCCCGGUGACCCUGUGGUCCCCGGGAACUCGCGGUACUGGGGACUGACGGGACUCCCACAUAUGCUGAGGGCCCGUUAGUCCCCGUAUUCAGCCUGUGUGUGCCUUCUCUAAUACACACUCACGGGCGUAAUGUACGGGGUUAGAGGGGUAAUAAUAUAAGCCUACAUUUUACAGCUAAGACAGUGUGCUCACGCUGCUGUGAAGAUUUAAAAUAUAACAGAGAUAGAGAAAAUAAGAGAAAAUUCAAAUGGCCAGGGCUGAAUGAGCAGCCCUGUGUCUGUGCGCAUUUGGCACAUGUGGACACGGAGACUCGUGCACUGUUAUACUGUGUCCAAAACUACUGUAUAAUAUGUACAAUGCCAAAAUAGUACAUGUCAAGUGUUCGCUGUCUGUGAGGUAGGUAGAUGGAUGGCUUGAUGAUAGGUGAAAAACCUUUCAACACAAAAAAUAAAGAACAUUUCAUUAAUCAUUCAGAUAAAUUAAAUGCAUUAUACAGAAGACAAAUGAAAUAAAAAUAUACACUUCAGUAAAGCCACUUUUGUCUAAACUAUCAUUUAUCCUAGUUUUAGUUUUACAUUUAUUAGUUUUUAAAUCAGAGGUGAGUAAUUUCAAACAACGAAGAUGAAAUAAACUGGUCUACCUUGCAUUUUUUUUACACUUUCUGUAACAAUUACAUUUUUAAAGUAAACAUUUUAGAGUUUACAAAUAUUUUAAUAAAGACUUUAACCAAGGAUUUGGGGUAAUUACUUUUAGUAUUAAUUAACAUAAGUGUGGGAAACACUAUCUACUAGUGAUGGGUCCAGCAACACUGACGCACCGACGCUUGUAUCAAGCUCACAGAGUGAAGCCUGUAUCGGUGCGUGCGUCGCUUUAAGAAAAAGUCACGUGAUCGAUACAGCUGCUGUAUCGCUCAUUGCCAACGCGCCAAGCUGUGUUUAAAAGGUACCGCAUCCGCAUCUGCCAACGGAAUGAGUCGCCACCAAAAACAAAACACAAAAUUACUCUCGCAAAGAUAAAAAUAAAUAAAUAAAUACACAUCUCUCCAUAACAAAAUGGAGCCCGAAAGAAAAAGAAAUGUUUCUGCUGUGUGGGAUCAUUUUGAUCUUUUAACUGGAAAUACGGUAAUAGUUUGUCUGUCUUUGUUUCAGUGUAAUCUAUCAGAACACCUCCUCAGUGUUUAGGCAUUACACAGCCAAACAUGAAAAUGAGGAGACAAACACACCGAGAAUGAACACAGGUCGGCCUAUAUAGACACUGAACAGCUUUAUCAUAUUUUUUUUUAUUAUGUGUUUUAUUAUUUUGAAAUCAAGCAUCUAGGAAGACUGUUCUGGGCCAGGCAGUCCUGAAUUUCAUUAUAAAGGACUGCCAGCCCCUUAGUAUUGUGGAGAGUGUCGGAGAGAAACAUUCCAAGAUCAGAGGAUCCUUUAAGGUACUGAGGGAAUAGGAAGACAUCUUAUCAGAACCUUUUCCACCUGGCUUUACAAUUUUUGUGUAGCCCAGCUUCAUCUGUGCCUGUGAGUUUUCCAAAGCUGGGGAAAUGGUGCCAAAAAAAAAAAAAAAAAAACCAUAAUAGACUGAAUGCAAAAACAAUGGAUAAACUUAUUUUUCUGGAUAGAAAUUUAUAAUAAACUCUGAGUCAAUUACAUUUAAAUGGGUAAUAUUAUGUUCACAGUACUUUCAUUUUAAUUUUCACUUAAUGUCAUUCACAAUAUAUUUUAAAGAUGUCUAAAAUAUUUGAAAUGUAAAAGAUAUAAAAUGAUUACAGUGUAUACACGUAUGACUAGGUCAUUGAAUCAGUGUCUGUUUGAGUCUCAAGUAAGUUGCCUGCAAUGAUACUUAAUGUCCAGCAGGUGUCAGUAUGGAGCAAAACAGCAACACUGUGUCGACACAGUAUCGAUACAGUUUGGGGAAUGUGCUGAAACGCUUCACGAGGUCUCAUCUACCCAUCACUACUAUCUACAUAAACAAUUUAUUCAAACUUAAACAUUUAUUUUAAUAUCAAUAUAAUUUUUUAAACUUAAAUGCAGUAACUAUUUCCCAAAGCAUAAAUACAUUCCCACAAUUGAGCUUCCACAGUUCCCAAACAUAUAAGCAGCAAAUAUGAGUCAGAGCUUACCGAUAGCCCGUCUAACUCAAAGUCUUCCUCACAGUGGAAAGUGGAUUGUGCUUGGUUUGCUG